AUCAACCUGUCUUCCUCCAGAAUGGCAUUCGGUUUAUUGCACACACACUUAUGCAGCCUCUCCCCAUCUUCCUACACAAGCUAUUAAUAAAGAACAAUGUCAGAAACGUUUGAAACUAGACGCAGCCCAAUUUAAUUUCUAUCCAUUCUAAUUGUAUCUUUUAAUCUUUGAUCAGCUCUUCACACUUGAGCUUGUUACUUUGAGCCUCAAGGUACGUCAGUCAUGAUUAUAUGACCAACUGUCUGUUUUCCUCCUUCUGUUCACCACUUAAAGGUGCAAUCCUGAAUUCAAAUGCAAUAGAUCAGCAUACAAGUCACAUACUGUAUGCAAUAUACUAUUUCAGCCAAUCAGCACUUUCCUGUCCUCCUUUUCUGUGAACUAGCCAACAGUGACAAAUGGUUAGAUAUUUCUUUUAGAUAAAAAAAAAGACAGACAGAAAAAUAUAAGUUCUCAUGCAGCUUGUAAUUGCAAAAUGAUCUUUCAUCUUGAACAAUGAGCCUUCAUUUUGUGUUCAAGAUGUUCCAGGUCCAUACAACCAGAAAAGUAAUCUUCCUUUUAUCCAUGCUGGUUUGUCCUUCAGGUGAGAAAAUGCACGAUUGCAUGAGGUGCAUGAUAAAAAUAAAGAUGAAAAGAUGAUCACCAAUUAAAAUUCCACCAAAACAUGUUUUUGUGUCUAUUCAUGCUUCAUAUGUGUGUGAUUCAAGUGUCUGAUAGACAAUUUCUAACCCCAGACCUCACUGGAUGUCAACCUGGCCGCCCUGGCAACCCUGGUUCUUCUGGAUCUCAUGGCCCGCCUGGACCUCGUGGCGGCAAUGGACCUCGUGGCGGCAAUGGACCACCUGGCCCCCCUGGCCCCACUGCCCUCCCUGGAAAACCGGGCCUACCUGGUCCACCUGGCCCCCGUGGACCUCCCGGCCCCCCCGGACCACCUAGCAUGACUGGAUCAUCUGGCCGUGAUGGACCUACUGGUCCCCAGCAAUCUGCACCUGCUCUGAAGGAGACGUCCAGCGCAGCCGGCAACCCAAUAACAAGGGCGUUGAUUGGCUGAUCCCUGCUUUGCAAACAAGUGCCUUAACCAUCGUGUAAUACAAAAAACACUUCACUUCAUCACAGAUAUAUUCAUUCAUCUGGCGACUUUUUAAAUAUUUUGACUUUGAAUUUACUCUCCUGAAAAUUAACUCUGUUUUCAAUAUCAUAAAUAUUCUCAUGUAAUCUGCUUUCCCAUCAAAUCUAUACUCAUGCACUCAUGUUUUACCAUUUAUUUUAAAGCAUCAAAUAAAGCAAAUAAAAAAAAAUAUUUUGACUUUGAA
rnacentral:lncRNA from 1 species